rnacentral:lncRNA from 1 species
AAUAGGCUCUUUUCACCAAGGGAUUGAGUUAAGGGUAGACUAAGAAAGUUUGCAUGACAAUAUGAUAAAUAAGCUAAUUAAAUAAGAAGAGUAGAUAUAUGAGGGUGGAUAAGAUGAAACUGUAAACCCCAACAACUCCAUUCAUCCAUAGUUUCUUUUAGCCAACUAAAUCAUUGCAUUUGCAUGUUUAUUUUUGUUCUUUGCAUACACACCUCAACUUAAUUCUUUCCUCAAGUCUUACACGAUUUGUUUACAUGAAAAGUAAGGCCUAAGAGUCC